AGCUUUGCGCAGUGGCAGUAUCGUAGCCAAUGAGGUUUAUCCGAGGCGCGAUUAUUGCUGAUUGAAAAUUAUUUGACUUCAUCAUCCCCGUUUGAGAGUAUUUUUCCUAUGUAAAGAAUUCUAGGGAGGCCGUUAUUCCAGC
rfam:Mustela putorius furo unplaced genomic scaffold scaffold00056, whole genome shotgun sequence.